rnacentral:rRNA from 1 species
UCUAGAGAAGCAUCAUCCGUGCUGGACCAUGUACAAGUCUCUUGGAACAGAGCGUCAUAGAGGGUGAGAAUCCCGUCCUUGACAUGGACUCCCAGUACUUUGUGUUGUGCUCUCAAC